GUGGGGAAUAUUGGACAAUGGGCGCAAGCCUGAUCCAGCCAUGCCGCGUGAGUGAUGAAGGCCUUAGGGUUGUAAAGCUCUUUCACCGAUGAAGAUAAUGACGGUAGUCGGAGAAGAAGCCCCGGCUAACUUCGUGCCAGCAGCCGCGGUAAUACGAAGGGGGCUAGCGUUGUUCGGAUUUACUGGGCGUAAAGCGCACGUAGGCGGUUUGUUAAGUCAGAGGUGAAAUCCCGGAGCUCAACUCCGGAACUGCCUUUGAUACUGGCAAGCUAGAGUCCGGAAGAGGUAAGUGGAACUCCUAGUGUAGAGGUGGAAUUCGUAGAUAUUAGGAAGAACACCAGUGGCGAAGGCGGCUUACUGGUCCGGAACUGACGCUGAGGUGCGAAAGCGUGGGGAGCAAACAGGAUUAGAUACCCGAGUAGUCC
rnacentral:rRNA from 1 species